GGCCAGUUAGCUCAGUUGGUUAGAGCGUGGUGUUAUAAGACACCAAGGUUAAGGGAUCGAAUCCCUGUACUGGCCC